UGUUUAGUGACAUGUGACAGAACACGUCUCCAUUUAUCAGUCCCAGGAUUCUACUGCUUUACUUUACUCCACAGCGUCCUCACAGCUCCAGGUGCAGCUGUCCAACAUCUCACCAGCUGCUGAUGACCUCAGUCCAGAACCACUUGAUUGUCUACGCUGUCUACCACAGCCUGAAGCUUCAUCACCCUCGUGUCGUAGCAGAUGUUUUCUGCCAACACAGGCAGAGAUCCAGGACCAUUGACGUGAUCUGGAACAAAUAGAACAAGCAUGGCAGACAGCGUCUGAUGCACUUUCACUACAAGCAUCAGGGCCCUGCAGCCCGGCCGGCAGAUGAGCUCCGACCAGUCGGCUGGAGGCUCAACACAUCAGCAGGAGGAGAUUAGAAGAUGGCGUCCCAGGAGUCAAAGCUGGGCCUGGGGACAGCGAACGCUCCUGCUGCGCUCUGUUCAAACUCUAGAACUCUGCUGCCUCCACUGCAGUCACAGCUCUGCAGGCUGCUGUGACCUUGUGCUCAGCACAUGCGGUGUGUGUGUUACUGGCUGAGAGUCUGUCGGUGUGGAGGAAAUCCCUCCUUUGUUUCCAGGCGAGUUUAUUUUCUGUGUUUAAUGGAGGAAACUCAAAGAUGGUCGGAUUGGACAGAUAAGAGAAAGUCAUGGACAGAGUCUGAAUAAAUAACAUUAAAAAUACCUUUAGGAUCUACUAACCUGAAAUGGGUUUCUAGCAUUUAAUUAACCUCACUUUCAACAUUUGAUGCCUUGCUACUUCAUCAAAUAUAGAGUUUGAGUAAUCGAUGUCAUAAUCGGUGUCACAUGUUUCUGGACACUCAUCUUCUUUUUCUGCUCUAGCUCAGACUUUGGCACCAACAUAGUUCAUUAUGUGGAUCAGCUCAAUUCAAAGUCAGCCAGGAUUAAGCUUCUUCAUACAUUAGCAGUUUAUAAAUGUGCCACUUGGAGGCAGGCUGGAUAAAGAGAAUGCAGAACAACCUUGGAGAAGAGGAGAAAGCAGCCACAAAGACUCAGAGGGGGGUGACAAGGCAAUGGAUACUAAUUGCCACCAGCUUUCUCUCAACAGGGGAUUCACCUUUGAGUUGCAAGUAGGAGAAGUAAUGUGUAUGCUGAUGUGUGUGUUUAAUUAUGUAUGUGCAUGUUUCUUUUU